rnacentral:tRNA from 1 species
GGCGAAGUAGCUCAGGUGGUUAGAGCACACGGUUCAUAACCGUGUUGUCGUGGGUUCGAGUCCCUCCUUCGCUAC